rnacentral:rRNA from 1 species
AAMACGACUCUCGGCAACGGAUAUCUCGGCUCUCGCAUCGAUGAAGAACGUAGCGAAAUGCGAUACUUGGUGUGAAUUGCAGAAUCCCGUGAACCAUCGAGUCUUUGAACGCAAGUUGCGCCCCAAGCCGUUAGGCCGAGGGHACGCCUGCCUGGGUGUCACGC